AAUGCCGUUAUUUCAUGCUUUAGACUACAAACCAACUCGUCGCUCGUGGGAAUACACUAGGCUGUAUAUAGUAUUGAUUUCGCUAUUCUUAGACGAUGCUCUGCGUAGGAAGUUCCCACGAAUAGCGACAGCAGCGGUAUGAGAACUGGCUAAAGCCUCUCUCCUCAAGCCUUCUGAAAGGGAAGAGGACAUUUCGAGCGCGUGCAAUAUUCUGCGCGUGCAGGCGCCCAAAUCAUGAAAUUGGCGAGAAUGAAAUAGCUUCCCAUGAAUUAGGGAGUGAGGUCGAGGUGAAGACUCAUCUCGACACACAUUCAGCGUUUUUGCCGGUGGACGGGUGGAUGGAUGGACACGGGGCAUGUAAUUGCAGAAAUCAUGAACAGUCCGUGGUCAACCACACCUAUCGUCCCUGAUCUCGUGACCUUGAAUCGUGACCUUGAACCAUGACCUGGUAUUCAGCUGACGUCAUCGGAGGUCAUAAGCCUAGAGUAUGGAGAAGUGGCACGAUUGGCAAGUCGUUCAUUCGUCACCGUAUGUUUCAUGCCAAUCGCAGAUGGAAGUAUGCUUGUGGUCACCCUUACCAAAACCACUCCCUUUGCACCGACAAGCCUGUGACAAAAUGAAGCAAAAAUACUCUUUUAACCGAGAUCAAAAUCAACAACAUACAUUCAUUCAAUGAGGUGUUAAGAAUUCAGGUCGCCUUCCUAAGAAGCUUUUCCCCCUAAAGUCCUCGCUUGACCUUGCCAUAUGCCGCGGGUCAUUUCCUCACAGAUCUCAGAUGACCUCCACCAAGAGCUCGAGUCACCUCCCACAAGAUCUCGGAGAUCAGGUCACCAUCCCUUACGACAACAGAAUGUAAUCAUCUUUACAGACCAAACACUCAACAUGUGCUCGACCGAGACCUUAUCCUGCUAUGAAGCUCACCAAAGACAGACAUGCCGUGGUUCAGUUUGGGUAUCUUGGGUUCGCUUCUGCGGAUGCGUCUAGUCCCGAUAUAGCAUGAUCACGUGACCAAUCCAAAUACGAUCUUGUCUUGACCUGUACUUUGUUAAAACACUAGUGGAAGUCAGACCCAGAACCAUGACUUUGGAAUUUUCAAAUGUGACUAGUGGGUUACAAAUCUUUUUUUACAAGUCUUCUAUUAAAAGUUCCCCUCGGUCCAAGUAUCAAGAGACGGAUACGAUUCCUUGGAACGGCAUAGUGUUUGUAAGAAGUUGGAAUCUGGUGCAAAAACUGAUUUUGAUUUCGUUUCUUUUUUCUGCUUUAAAAUAAGAAAAUAUCAGGGGCGAGGGAAAUGUUUUACUGAAUUAUUUUUACAUAUACCUCGCAUUGUAGGAAAGAAGAUGCUGUUUCCCGUUCUUGCAGUGUGAAACGAAUACCGUUCGUUAUUCUUCAUUAAUUUACAAACAAAUAAUUGAGCUCCUUAAUAUUAAAAAAUAUUUGCUGAUCUGAAAACAAAAUCACUUUGCGGUUCAAAUAGUCAUGGCUGAAACUAACCCCCCCCCCCCCAAAAAAAAAAUAAAUAAAAAAAAUAA